UUCAGCCUUUUGGGUGUGAUUAUGUGGAGCGUGAGGAAGUUAAACGCCUUCAUGCCUGCAUAUUCGUGCACUUUGGGUGUACUUGCCCGUGUGGUUGGUUAACAUCAAUUUUGGUUAUCAUAAAAUGACUGGAGGAAUGUAGCUUCGAUCUCGUAUUGAAGUGUUAUAGCCUUCGGUAGAUGUGAUGAUCGAGAUUGAGGAUUGCAACGGAUACCCUUCGGGGCUACCUGUCUGGUCUCUGAUCGUUGCUCUGGUGCCGAAAGCUUGCUUACGGUUAUCAAAGUCGAUGGUCAAUAGGUUAGAACGGGUUAAAUUCGUUAAGGAUGUUGACGUAAUGGCUUU
rnacentral:rRNA from 1 species